GACGACGCUGGCGGCGUUCUUAACACAUGCAAGUCGAGCGAGCGGCGGACGGGUGAGUAAUGUCUGGGAAACUGCCUGAUGGAGGGGGAUAACUACUGGAAACGGUAGCUAAUACCGCAUACCAUCAGAUGUGCCCAGAUGGGAUUAGAUAGUAGGUGGGGUAAUGGAUCACCUAGGCGACAAUCCCUAGCUGGUCUGAGAGGAUGACCAGCCACACUGGAACUGAGAGACGGUCCAGACUCCUACGGGAGGCAGCAGUGGUGAUUAUUGCACAAUGGGCGCAAUCCUGAUGCAGCCAUGCCGCGUGUGUGAAGAAGGCCUUCGGGUUGUAAAGCACUUUCAGCGAGGAGGCGUUACUCGCAGAAGAAGCACCGGCUAACUCCGUGCCAGCAGCCGCGGUAAUUC
rnacentral:rRNA from 1 species